UAGCGUAGGGCGCAAGCGUUAUCCGGAAUUAUUGGGCGUAAAGAGCUCGUAGGCGGUUUGUCGCGUCUGACCGUGAAAGUCCGGGGCUCAACUCCGGAUCUGCGGUGGGUACGGGCAGACUAGAGUGAUGUAGGGGAGACUGGAAUUCCUGGUGUAGCGGUGAAAUGCGCAGAUAUCAGGAGGAACACCGAGUGGCGAAGGCAGGUCUCUGGCAUUAACUGACGCUGAGGAGCGAAAGCCAUGGGGAGCGAACAGG
rnacentral:rRNA from 1 species